UCCUCGGCGACGGGGAAUCUGAAGGAAGCUCGAGGCAAAUACUUGCACCGACGAACAGAAAUUUCAUACAAGGCCAUGUAGAAUGGAUGAGCUUGCAAAACAAAGCAAAGUCCAAUACUGCCCGGGUUCUGCAUGGUAAAUGAAGCGGUGACAUGAGUAGAAGGUCUGCACU
rfam:Enterococcus cecorum DSM 20682 = ATCC 43198 genomic scaffold adfme-supercont2.1, whole genome shotgun sequence.